AAUCAACGCUGGCGGCGUGCCUAACACAUGCAAGUCGAACGCGAAAGCCCGCAAGGGUAAGUAGAGUGGCGCACGGGUGAGUAACACGUGGACAACCUGCCUUCGAGUGGGGAAUAACCUUCCGAAAGGAGGGCUAAUACCGCAUAACACCUCGGGACACAAGUCUUGGGGUUGAAAAGAGCAAUUUGCUCGAAGAGGGGUCCGCGCCUGAUUAGCUAGUUGGUGAGGUAACGGCUCACCAAGGCUUCGAUCAGUAGCCGUCCUGAGAGGGAGCACGGCCACACUGGAACUGAGACACGGUCCAGACUCCUACGGGAGGCAGCAGUGGGGAAUUUUUGGCAAUGGGCGAAAGCCUGACCAAGCAACGCCGCGUGGGUGAUGAAGUAUCUUGGUACGU
rnacentral:rRNA from 1 species